GCCCGUAUAGCUCAGCUGGUAGAGCAUUGUACUUAUGAGGAUAACUGACCAUGCAAGGGUCUCGAGUUCGAAUCUCGAUAUGGGCA
rnacentral:tRNA from 1 species